rnacentral:rRNA from 1 species
CUGCUUUUGACGGUGG